GUUUAAUAUUGGCUGAAAUAAUUUGCUUGACGGUGAGAAAAACAUUUUAUAAGUAAUGGAAGAAAGAGAAUAAACCAUGCAGCCUCCAUAUUUGCAUGUAAGAUUUUUGUUUUCCUUUCUUUUAGGGUUUUGAAGAAUCUAGGUUUAAAACAAGAUUGAUUUUUUUUUUGUAUAAAAUUAUAGAUAUGGGAUAUCUGUACUCCAGGAUUGGACUGUAUAUUCAAUUCCAGAAGUAACUGUGCCUGGAAGUUCAAAACUAAGGAAGGCCUCUCUCACCAGAGAGAAAAACAAGAUCCUUGCCGUACAAGGUACUGGACUAACAUAGCCCUCUGAAGUGCUCGAGGGAUCGAAAUCAACUGUCCCUUCAGAACAGCCCAUCAGUCAGAGAGAUGCAAGUUCAAAAGGAAGAGGAAGUGUGACCGACUCUUCACUUCCCUUGGGUGUGGCAAGCAUCAUCCCUCUGUGCAGAGGAGUGGUGUUUCAUUUAGUUGAUCACGAUAGACUUCGUAUCACACCUGUUUGAAAUGCAUUACUUCUCUGUUGAUAAAGGUAAUGGUUAAAUUUAAGAAGGGGAGA
rnacentral:lncRNA from 1 species